UCGGAGAAGCAAAACAAAAUUAGGUUCAAAAGAUUAUGCAUAUAAACAAAACAGACUAACACGAAAUCAUAGAAUCUCAAAAGAAGCCAUAUUUCUCACCUAUGAAGGAAGAAACUUUUGCAAACUCUCGAGCCAAGUGAAGAGACUAACUAAAACCCUAAUUGGCUUAGGAUACAAGCAAGAGCGAGGCAGAACGUAUAAUUGAUUUCCUUUCUUAAAUGUUCGGAAAUUAAUGGAUUGGAAAAAUGGAAAUUAGUAAAAGAAAUUUCAUUACUAAAUAGAGUAAAUAGGAAAUUAUUAUCUCAGAGAAUAUUCUUUUGUAUUGGAAACAACUUUGAAAAAAAGUAAGGAAGAUAUUAUGUUUUGAUUCUUAUUGUUAGAGGACAUAAUGGUUUUAAGCAAGUUAGGAGACUACAUACACAUUGGCAAUGAAAGGAGAACUUGCUCUUGUUCCACUCUACAUUAUUAGACUAAAGUUGCAAGAGGUUUAUAACAUCCUAAAGAAACCAUGAAAGGAAUCUUCUCUGCAGCAAACUCCUCAAUUCUUCUUUUCGGUUGUUGAUUCGCAACACAUCCACAGUUAGACCUUGCCUUCGAUGACAUUGAUGAAGGCUUCAAGGUAAAACUAACAGAAGGCCAAGAAGUACUUCUCUCAGAAGAAGAUUCUUUUUCGGUGCUUUUGUCUGCUGCUUUAUUUUGGACACUACUCCAUUGUUGUUUCUGUUCAGAAGGUUUAUUGGUUCUUUUGUCAGGUGCUUUAUUUUGGACACCACUGCACUGUUGUUGCUGUUGAGAAGCUUUAUUGGUUCUUCUUUUGUUUGGAGUUUUCCCGGUUUCAAUGAAAGGUUGUCUACAAUUUGGACAAACUUUUUCCUUGUUCAGAUUAGAAUCCCUCGGACAUUGCCAUUCUGUCUUGCAUCUUCUGCACAUUGACCAAAACAUAAUAGGUUCCCUCUGUUUUGAUGCAUCCGCGGGAAACGCAUACUCAGUACUUCUUGCUUCCUUCCUCGUAUGCAAACCAUCUUGUUGUUGGUUUGUUGAUUUCUGCAUAUUAAUCUUUGCUUUGUUCGACUUCCUUCUUUGAUAAUAAGAAGCUCUCUUAACCUUAUCAGACAACAAAGACCAAGCUUCUAAAACCAGUUUAAAGGCACCUUCCGCUCCAUCAAACUUGUUCUUGUCCGGAUGAAGCAAAAGAGCUAACUGCUUGUAGGUCUUCUUCACUGCUUCAUCAUCCGCUAAAGGAUCGACACCGAGAAUCCUGUACCAAUCAGAUUCUUCUCCUCCGUUUGACGCAGAUUUAUAAACACCGAUCAUCAUCGACACUUGCUUCAAACCAUCGAGAUUUGGAUACAAACGCUGAGCCUUGAUAACAAAUUUCUUCGCCCCAUCGUAAUCAUUCUCCGAGAGUUUCCUCACAGCAAUCUCCGUGGCUCUUCUAGCUUCUUCCAUCUUCUCUUCAGAUACAAAUCCAGAGGAUAACACAGAGAUCGGAAAAGGAAAAAACGAAUAGAGAUUUGGAGCAACUCAGUGGACGAUAUAACAAAACCCGUUAAAGAUCUCUCCCUGGUUUUGAUUGAGAUCAACUAAAACCCUUAAAAAAUCGCAAUAGAAGCAAGAGCGCUUGGUAUAAGUAAUUUAUAGACGAUGCUUUUCCAAUUUCCAAAAAGAAGAUUUCCUUUUCCUUUCCUUUUCUUAAGGGGAUUAUUAUAUUAAAGGGAAAAUUACAAAUUAAUUGAGAAAGAAAAGGAAAAUAUUAUCUCGGUGACUAUGUUGUUGAUAUUGAUUUUAGCUUUUUUAAAAUAAAAUUAUUGGAGACAA